AGUUUUUAACUCAAGUGGCGGACGGGUGAGUAACACGUAAGAAUUUGCCUUUAGGAGGGGGAUAACAACUGGAAACGGUUGCUAAUACCCCAUAUGCUUUCGAGUAAAAUGGAUUUUUCCGCCUAAAGAGAAGCUUGCGGCUGAUUAGCUUGUUGGUGAGGUAAUGGCUUACCAAGGCGACGAUCAGUAUCUGGUUUGAGAGGACGAUCAGACACACUGGAACUGAGACACGGUCCAG
rnacentral:rRNA from 1 species